rnacentral:rRNA from 1 species
AUUGAACGCUGGCGGCAGGCCUAACACAUGCAAGUCGAGCGGUAGCACAGAGAGCUUGCUCUCGGGUGACGAGCGGCGGACGGGUGAGUAAUGUCUGGGAAACUGCCCGAUGGAGGGGGAUAACUACUGGAAACGGUAGCUAAUACCGCAUAACGUCGCAAGACCAAAGUGGGGGACCUUCGGGCCUCAUGCCAUCAGAUGUGCCCAGAUGGGAUUAGCUAGUAGGUGGGGUAACGGCUCACCUAGGCGACGAUCCCUAGCUGGUCUGAGAGGAUGACCAGCCACACUGGAACUGAGACACGGUCCAGACUCCUACGGGAGGCAGCAGUGGGGAAUAUUGCACAAUGGGCGCAAGCCUGAUGCAGCCAUGCCGCGUGUGUGAAGAAGGCCUUCGGGUUGUAAAGCACUUUCAGCGGGGAGGAAGGCGGUGAGGUUAAUAACCUCACCGAUUGACGUUACCCGCAGAAGAAGCACCGGCUAACUCCGUGCCAGCAGCCGCCGCAGUAA